GCAAGGAAUUCAAUUCCUUCCCUUCUAACGCCAGAAAUUAGGGUAAUUGUUUUUCAGUUACCUACAUUUAUCUUCAACGCUAUUUACUUCAACGUCUGUCAGUUCCUUGCGCCAAAAAUUAAGAUUUACGUUCACCUACUUCUUCUCCGGUGGUUCAUCCGUAACGGAAAAAAUAAACACCACCAUAAUUUUCGGCAAUCAAUCCCAUCGACUCAAACAUGGCUAAUUAACUCUUUACGCUUUACUACAUAAACCUCACAGAAAAACCAUCUCGCGAAUGUUCUCAAUGCCUUUUUUUAGCAAAGAAAAUAUUUUUCGAGAUAAAAUCUUCUGAUUAAGAUUUUCGUUGGCGCAUGGCAUAUUUGCAGAUUUUGAAAACAUCCAUCAGGCAUGUAAAUGUAUCAAGUAUGGGUAAUGUCAAUUGAAUUCCACCUGAUUUGAUUUUUUUUUUUUGGUCAUGUAAUUAGGUCAGGAUGAUGUAGAGGAAUGUAAGAGUCAGUAGAAUCUCUAGGUGUGUUAGAUUAGUGGGUUGACUGUGAUUUUUUUUCAUUAUCAUUUGAUUUAUACUUGAUUUUUCAUAAGAAGGAAAAAUUGUUGUUCAUGUAGGUAGUACCGUUCUCUUAAUCAAAUGCAAACUGUGUAAAUGAUGCAAUGCUAUAUUCACUACUCACCUCACCUAAAAUGUUGUUGAUGCGCAUCAAUCAUCUGAAAAAAAAUUAGAAGAUGCUAUUGAUCUAGAGCAAUGCAUGUAUACUGUGCAGUAAUGCUUAGUAAUUUUAUUUGUUUUUGGAACAUUAGCACCAAACAAAGUCUCUCUGAAUUUGAUUUUAGAAUUAUAUUUUGUCUUUGCUUCGUGACGCCCUUUCUUUUCUGCUGCUAACUGAAAACCAAAGUGUUGGGGUUAAGAGUGAAGGAUUAAGAAGAUGGACAUAUAGUGAGCAUUAUCACCAGCAAUUUCAAGACUAAAAUGCAGAAAGAAGUAUAUCACCAAUGCCAGGAUUACUAAGAAGGAAACAACAACAAAUGGGUGGGGAUGAUUUAUUAAUAAUGCCAAACCAUUGAUAGCAAGAUCUGGAAGUUUAAGACCAGCUGGUGUAACAUUAAUACCAUUAAUAGAAGGACCUGAACUAGAUGGUAAUAUCAGUGAAAAUGAUGAUUCUAAAAGAGAAGGCUGAGGUCAUUGGAUGAGAAGCCAAUUAUCUAGAGUUUAUUAUGUUUCUGCUGCUCGCAACGCGGUAUUUCUCACUGCCUCUCUUUCUUAAAAUCUUUUUUUUUUCUUCAAAUUAUUUGCUGCCUCUUGCAUUUGUUUGCUCAAAAGUCUGAACCCCAAUUGUUAUCUUUGAGGGUUUAUUGGGAUUGGUCUUAUAACCCCUUGAAGCCUUGCGAGUUUAGAGAUUUUAUAGUAAUCUUAUAAAGCUGAGAUUCAUGGGUUUACAUGACCAGAUUGGUUCUACUAUCUAAUGGCCUACAUGACUAGAGGAUUGACAAAUCUUGGUUUCUUGAUUCACUUAUCUUUAUUUUGAUUGCUUAUGUUUUUUUCUCAAAUAUAAAGGGUAAAAUAUGAAUGUAUUUUAAAUAUCCUGAUUUAUGGGUUGUGACCUCUUCCUGAGCAGUCUUUGUAUCUAUAUAAGCAGUCUUUGUAUCUAUACGAAGUACAUGUAUGUGACUUAUAUGGAUUGUUACUAACUCUUUUAGGACUUAUUCAGGUAAAGAUCAUCAGCUUACCACGACUUCACAAGCCGUCCCUUGCUUGAACUAAGAUUCAUGUUUUACCAAUUAAUUUUUGUUUUACUUUGCAUAUUAUUAUUCUUCAGUUUUUUACUAUGUCAAAGUGACUUGCAAGAUUGUCCAAGCUUUAAUGACGAUGGUUUGAGCGAGAUUUUUACGAGGUGGAAAGGCACUUGCAUGGCCCGGGAUGAUUACAAAAAAUCUUACCUUAUUCAGUUUUUUACUAUCUCAACGUGACUUGCAAGACUGUCCAAGCUUUAAUGACGAUGGUUUGAGCGAGAUUUUUACGAGGUGGAAAGGCACUUGCAUGGCCCAGGAUGAUUACAAAAAAUCUUACUUUAGCAGGAAUUUUGUGAUUCAGUGCGGUGACCAACUGGGACCGGAAAAGGAGGUGAAUCCAUUUGGGUAAACCUUUUUCUGAAGAAAUCAACUCGAGAAAUCAACUCGAAAUUGCUUCACUCAGGCUGGGGUGUUGUCAGCAUGGCAAACAGCAACCUGCAUAUCAACGGCUUUGAAUUUUUUAUACCGUGCAAGUCUGCAAAUCAACAGCACUGUAAGCAUCCUGUUUUUGGGGGAGUUGUGGGUGGGUUGACUAUCCUUGCAGUAAUGAAGAAGGUUCAUGUCUUCAUGAUGACAGUGGCUGACAUAUGGUGUCCUGGACUAUCACCUUUAUAAAUGGAUAGGAUAUGCAGUAGUCUUACCAUGAAGGCGUGAAGUAAAUGCAUCUUUGCCAUCAUGUUACCAAGGGACCGUGACAGUUGGAAGUGGCUCAGUCCUCCUGUUUAGCACUAAGAUUUUGUAGGUUUUUUGGCUUUGAUGAUUUCCGGGGCACUACAAAUUGAAAAUAUGUUUAGACUCCUCGCUUAUGCUAUUACAGUCUGUAAUUAUUAAACUUUCAGAUGGAAGAAAGCUAUUUGUAGAAACCAUCAUAUUAAAUGCAUCAUCGACCCUUAAAGUACCUUCAUUUCUUUCCA